rnacentral:rRNA from 1 species
GAUGAACGCUGGCGGUAUGCUUAACACAUGCAAGUCGAACGGACUCUUCGGAGUUAGUGGCGGACGGGUGGGUAACGCGUGAGAAUCUGGCUUUGGGUUCGGGACAACCACUGGAAACGGUGGCUAAUACCGGAUGUGCCGAGAGGUAAAAGAGAAAUUGCCUGAAGAUGAGCUCGCGUCUGAUUAGCUAGUUGGUGAGGUAAAGGCUCACCAAGGCAGCGAUCAGUAGCUGGUCUGAGAGGAUGACCAGCCACACUGGGACUGAGACACGGCCCAGACUCCUACGGGAGGCAGCAGUGGGGAAUUUUCCGCAAUGGGCGAAAGCCUGACGGAGCAAUACCGCGUGAGGGAAGAAGGCUCUUGGGUUGUAAACCUCUUUUCUUAGGGAAGAACAAAAUGACGGUACCUAAGGAAUCAGCAUCGGCUAACUCCGUG